rnacentral:tRNA from 1 species
GCGCCCUUAGCUCAGCUGGAUAGAGCAACGGCCUUCUAAGCCGUGUGUCGGGAGUUCGAAUCUCUCAGGGCGCACCA